rnacentral:rRNA from 1 species
GGUUAAGUUAGAAAGGGCGCACGGUGGAUGCCUUGGCACUAGGAGCCGAAGAAGGACGGGACUAACACCGAUAUGCUUUGGGGAGCUGUACGUAAGCGUUGAUCCAGAGAUUUCCGAAUGGGGGAACCCACUAUCUUUAGUCGGAUAGUAUCCUUACGUGAAUACAUAGCGUGAGGAAGGCAGACCCAGGGAACUGAAACAUCUAAGUACCUGGAGGAAGAGAAAGAAAAAUCGAUUUCCUGAGUAGCGGCGAGCGAAACGGAAAGAGCCCAAACCAAGAAGCUUGCUUCUUGGGGUUGUAGGACACUCUAUACGGAGUUACAAAAGAAAGUUAUAAAUGAAGCGGUCUGGAAAGGCCCGCCAAAGACGGUAACAGCCCGGUAGUUGAAAUGGCUUUCCCUCCAGAGUGGAUCCUGAGUACGGCGGAACACGUGAAAUUCCGUCGGAAUCCGGGAGGACCAUCUCCCAAGGCUAAAUACUCCCUAGUGACCGAUAGUGAACCAGUACCGUGAGGGAAAGGUGAAAAGCACCCCGGAAGGGGAGUGAAACAGUUCCUGAAACCGUGUGCCUACAAGUAGUUAGAGCCCGUUAAUGGGUGAUAGCGUGCCUUUUGUAGAAUGAACCGGCGAGUUACGAUUUGUUGCAAGGUUAAGCGGAAAAAGCGGAGCCGUAGCGAAAGCGAGUCUGAAUAGGGCGCAUAAGUAACAGGUCGUAGACCCGAAACCAGGUGAUCUACCCAUGUCCAGGAUGAAGGUAAGGUAAUACUUACUGGAGGUCCGAACCCACGCACGUUGAAAAGUGCGGGGAUGAGGUGUGGGUAGCGGAGAAAUUCCAAUCGAACUUGGAGAUAGCUGGUUCUCUCCGAAAUAGCUUUAGGGCUAGCCUCGAGGUAAAGAGUCAUGGAGGUAGAGCACUGUUUGGACUAGGGGCCCUUCUCGGGUUACCGAAUUCAGAUAAACUCCGAAUGCCAUGUACUUAUACUCGGGAGUCAGACUGCGAGUGAUAAGAUCCGUAGUCGAAAGGGAAACAGCCCAGACCACCAGUUAAGGUCCCCAAAUAUAUGUUAAGUGGAAAAGGAUGUGGGGUUGCUUAGACAACCAGGAUGUUGGCUUAGAAGCAGCCACCAUUGAAAGAGUGCGUAAUAGCUCACUGGUCGAGUGACCCCGCGCCGAAAAUGUACCGGGGCUAAACAUAUUACCGAAACUGUGGAUGAACCUCUUUAGAGGUUCGUGGUAGGAGAGCGUUCUAAGGGCGGUGAAGUCAGACCGGAAGGACUGGUGGAGCGCUUAGAAGUGAGAAUGCCGGUAUGAGUAGCGAAAGAAGGGUGAGAAUCCCUUCCACCGAAUAUCUAAGGUUUCCUGAGGAAGGCUCGUCCGCUCAGGGUUAGUCGGGACCUAAGCCGAGGCCGAUAGGCGUAGGCGAUGGACAACAGGUAGAGAUUCCUGUACCAGUGCUAAUUGUUUAACCGAUGGGGUGACACAGAAGGAUAGGGAAUCGCACGAAUGGAAAUGUGCGUCCAAGCAGUGAGUGUGAGAAGUAGGCAAAUCCGCUUCUCGCGAAGCAUGAGCUGUGAUGGGGAAGGAAAUUAAGUACGGAAGUUCCUGAUUUCACGCUGUCAAGAAAAGCCUCUAGGAAGAGUAGUACUGCCCGUACCGCAAACCGACACAGGUAGAUGAGGAGAGAAUCCUAAGGUGAGCGAGAGAACUCUCGUUAAGGAACUCGGCAAAAUG